UCUCCGUUGGUGAACCAGCGGAGGGAUCAUUACUGGAAUCGCAAGAUCCCACAACCCUGUGAACCUACCGAAACGUUGCCUCGGCGGUUGCCUGGCCCCCGCGCCGGGCGCUGCGCCCGCCGGCGGCCCCCUACUCUGUCUCUGCAGCGUGGCAUCUCAGAGUCCCAGAAAACAAGUCAAAACUUUCAACAACGGAUCUCUUGGCUCUA
rnacentral:misc_RNA from 1 species